rnacentral:rRNA from 1 species
UGAGGAACAUGACCUUCGGCGGGGGAUAGCCGGCCCAACGGCCGGGUAAUACCGCGUACGACCACAUGGGGACAUCCCUGAGUGGUGAAAGCAGCAAUGCGCCGAAAGAGUGCCUCGCGGCCUAUCAGCUAGUUGGUGAGGUAACGGUUCACCAAGGCGACGACGGGUAGCUGGU